UGCUGUAUAGCUCAGUUGGUUAGAGCAUGGUGCUGAUAGCACCAAGGUUGCUGGUUUGAUUCACCUACAGAAU